rnacentral:ncRNA from 25 species
GGAAUCUGAGGACGGAACAGGCGGCCGUCACCCAUUGUUAGGAGAUGUGGAUUGUCACCCACCUAUUCC